rnacentral:rRNA from 1 species
UACGGAGGGUGCAAGCGUUAUCCGGAUUCACUGGGUUUAAAGGGUGCGUAGGUGGGCAGUUAAGUCAGUGGUGAAAUCUCCGGGCUCAACCCGGAAACUGCCAUUGAUACUAUCUGUCUUGAAUAUCGUGGAGGUAAGCGGAAUAUGUCAUGUAGCGGUGAAAUGCUUAGAUAUGACAUAGAACACCGAUAGCGAAGGCAGCUUGCUACACGAGUAUUGACACUGAGGCACGAAAGCGUGGGGAUCAAACAGG